CUCCUCUCAGGGUCGCACCUGGAGAUUUUGGAGUACUCUGCCAGUCUCGGCUAUGGGAGGGAGAGUCAAGCAGAGGCCUAUCCAUUCCAUUCCUAGCUUGGGCUGUGACUAGCGAGCGGAAGGCCAUCUGCUACGAGU
rnacentral:snoRNA from 1 species